rnacentral:rRNA from 1 species
GACGAACGCUGGCGGCGUGCUUAACACAUGCAAGUCGAACGGAAAGGCCCUGCUUUUGUGGGGUGCUCGAGUGGCGAACGGGUGAGUAACACGUGAGUAACCUGCCCUUGACUUUGGGAUAACUUCAGGAAACUGGGGCUAAUACCGGAUAGGAGCUCCUGCUGCAUGGUGGGGGUUGGAAAGUUUCGGCGGUUGGGGAUGGACUCGCGGCUUAUCAGCUUGUUGGUGGGGUAGUGGCUUACCAAGGCUUUGACGGGUAGCCGGCCUGAGAGGGUGACCGGCCACAUUGGGACUGAGAUACGGCCCAGACUCCUACGGGAGGCAGCAGUGGGGAAUAUUGCACAAUGGGCAGAAGCCUGAUGCAGCAACGCCGCGUGCGGGAUGACGGCCUUCGGGUUGUAAACCGCUUUCGCCUGUGACGAAGCGGGAGUGACGGUAAUGGGUAAAGAAGCACCGGCUAACUACGUG